rnacentral:rRNA from 1 species
AUUGAACGCUGGCGGCAUGCCUUACACAUGCAAGUCGAACGGUAACAGGUCUUCGGAUGCUGACGAGUGGCGGACGGGUGAGUAAUACAUCGGAACGUGCCCGAUCGUGGGGGAUAACGGAGCGAAAGCUUUGCUAAUACCGCAUACGAGCUACGGUUGAAAGCAGGGGACCGCAAGGCCUUGCGCGGACGGAGCGGCCGAUGGCAGAUUGGGUAGUUGGUGGGAUAAAAGCUUACCAAGCCGACGAUCUGUAGCUGGUCUGAGAGGACGAGCAGCCACACUGGGACGUAGACACCGACCCGACACCUAAGGGAGGCAGCAGUGGGGAACUUUGGGCAAAGGGCGAAAGCCUUAUACAGUCAUGCCGCGUGUAGGAUGAAGGCCCUCCGGUUGGAAACUUCUUUUUCACGGAAUGAAAAGAUUCCUUCUAAUAAAGAGGGUCCAUGACGGUACCGUAAGAAUAAGCACCGGCUAACUACGUG